UAAUCUUCAGAGCCAAGCUCAAGAUUCCAGACUUUAUGAUGCUUUAAAGGCCAAAAUUUGGAUUCUAGUCCUUUUUUGAAGAAAGCCCCAGAUUGAGCGCUGACAGCCAAAUGGACAACAUAUGGAGAAGCACCUUCUCUCUGGCUAUUCUUCCAGGCUCUAGGCCUUUGGUAGAAAAUGUUGGCCAGAGAGUUUACUAAAAUCCAUGGUCAGAAGCCAUCUGCAAGAACCUCAUUUAUCAUGAAUCUAUGAUGCAAUCUCAAUGGCAACAGAAUCAGGGAAAUGGAUUUUCUGCACUUUGCAACUUGGGGAAACUAACAGUCCAUUCAGCGUGACUGAAAACUACCCCGAAGGCCAAUAUUUACUAAGCAUGGCACACACACACAGGAGCCUUGUUAAAAAUCCACAACAAAUCUCUCACUGCAAACAAAUCCAAAGGCUUCAGAGCUUCUGCAACUGUCUGAGUAAUGUUGAUUCUGACAGCAGAAAGCUGCUUUCCUACCAAUCCGGCAGUGAGCUGGAGUCUGUUGGCCCUACACCAAGAUUUCAUGAUUUCUUGUCUGUCGUCUUUGCUACAUAUUCCUUUUAUAACAACCUACCAGAAAUGAUAAGCACAAUAUUAAGCUGAAGUUUUCUUAUCUGUCUACUUAAUAUUCAGAAGAGACUGGUAAACACCAACUAGUUGUUUAACUCCAUAGGUUCAAUAAAGGCAUACAUAAUUAACUCAGCAUUCUCAUCAGAAUAUCAGAAGAAAAAAUAAUGGUCAACGCAGCAUUCACAAAAAACAGGAAAUACUUGGAGCUUCACACAUAACACUUUAAAGUGCAUGUUGCCUUCACAGGGUGAUGCCAAAGUAAUACGUGCUUUAAAGAAAACACACACACAAACAAUUGGAAGAGGAAAA